rnacentral:rRNA from 1 species
UACGUAGGGUGCAAGCGUUAAUCGGAAUUACUGGGCGUAAAGCGUGCGCAGGCGGCUUUGCAAGACAGAUGUGAAAUCCCCAGGCUCAACCUGGGAACUGCGCUCGAAACUGUGGGUCUAGAGUGUCGGAGAGGAUGGCGGAAUUCCUGGUGUAGAGGUGAAAUUCGUAGAUAUCAGGAGGAACACCGGUGGCGAAGGCGGCCAUCUGGACGACAACUGACGCUGAGACGCGAAAGCGUGGGGAGCAAACAGG